CGGCAGCGCGGGGGCUUCGGUCUCUGGCGGCGAGUGGCGGACGGGUGAGUAAUAUAUGGGAACGCGCCCGGCGGCGGGGGAUAACUCUGGGAAACCAGAGCUAAUACCGCAUGCGUUUCGCCUUUCGGGGCGAAAGAAAGCGGGGGACUUCUUCGGAGGCCUCGCACCGGCGGAGCGGCCCAUAUCCGAUUAGCUUGUUGGCGGGGUAACAGCCCACCAAGGCCGCGAUCGGUAGCUGGUCUGAGAGGACGGACAGCCACACCGGGACUGAGACACGGCCCGGACUCCUACGGGAGGCAGCAGUGGGGAAUAUUGGACAAUGGGGGCAACCCUGAUCCAGCAAUGCCGCGUGUGUGAAGAAGGCCUUCGGGUUGUAAAGCACUUUCGCGGGGGAAGAAAAAGCGAGGGGUAAUAUCUCUCGCGCCUGACGGUACCCCGAGAAGAAGCACCGGCUAACUACGUGCCAGCAGCCGCGGUAAUACGUAGGGUGCGAGCGUUAAUCGGAAUUACUGGGCGUAAAGCGUGCGCAGGCGGCCUGUCAAGUCGGGUGUGAAAUCCCCGGGCUCAACCCGGGAAUUGCGCUUGAAACCGGCGGGCUAGAGUACGGCAGAGGAAGGUGGAAUUCCGUGUGUAGCGGU
rnacentral:rRNA from 1 species